rnacentral:tRNA from 1 species
CGGGAUGUAGCACAGCUUGGUAGUGCGCUCGGUUCGGGACCGAGAGGUCGCGCGUUCAAAUCGCGCCAUCCCGACCA